CUGCUCGAUAGUCUGCUAGCGGCGUCCACCCGGAGGGCUUGGGUUGUCUUGGGAUAAAGGAGCUGAACAUGGAAGAGGUGGCAAUGCCUGAGUUCGCAUGCCUCUACCAGUACAAUGACCAAGAAGUCGCCUUCCUCUGUGCGCACCUCGAGGAGGCCACCCCUCGAGCCCCAUGUUUGGUCAGUGCUCUUAAUUAUCCUGCUGCUUGGAUGAUCAGAGGAAGAACAAAUGAUGGAGUCUUUUGUAUUAAUUUUAAUGACAUAUAAUACACACUGAAGACCUACAUGUGGCAGAUGGUGAUAGUGGGCAGAGCGAGAGGAGGAUCUGUGCAACGAGUGCUUUGCCUUUCCUUUAAUGCAGGAGAUUUCACCACUCCUCAAGCUGUACUGCCGAAUUUGAUGCUACUUGCUAAUGAUCAGCGUUACAACCAAGAUAGUUGUGAAAUUCUCCCGCAAAAUAAAGGAUGCUUGUUGGCGGAGUGAAGCCUGCCUCGGCAAAGAAGCUGUAUGCUGGAGGAGCUGAACCUUGCACCAGGCCAUGGGUGUUGCACGGUUUACAACCCUGUGAUGAUUUCCGUUUAGAUAGUUACAUGUGGGCGGUGACAAGUAUGUCCAUGGUAAGUGAGUUAUUUACCCUUUCAUUACAGUGCGGGACAGAAAUGAACAAUCUAGGGUGGAUGAAGACCAGCGCUUUGCACAAGUUUUUGUGUUUACGGCCCAGGAGAACCUUUGUUGUUUUCCCUGUUGUGGAAGAGUGGCAUGUGGAUACAUAAUAUGUGUUCGUGUGCAUUAUAGCCUUGGAUAUUCUUAGAAGUCUUACAAGGUAAUUCACACCUCAUUUUUGUAUUAUUUCUCCCGUUGCAUUAUCGCCUUGAAUUUAUGUAAGUGGUGAUAUUUACAAAUGAAUGUUGGUUUAUGUGCUUGACCUGCUGCGCCGGAGCAGAUUUUUCUGCCAUCUGUGCAGCUGCUAAAUUUUGUGCUUAUUUACGUCAGUAGCUUAUUUGCCACUUCUAUUAUGGAGUUUGCCCAUCGUUUUCUCUGCCAGAAAAUUGUUUAGAGUAAUAAUGUUGCACAUAUCUGUAGGAGAUGCAUUUUAAAAGUUCCGUGCUUCUUUAGGUAAGUAGCUUAUUUGACAUUUCUAUUAUGGAGUUUGCCCAUCGUUUUCUCUCCCAGCAAAUCUUUUAGAGUAAUAAUAUUUCCGAUAUUUGGGAGAUGCAUUUUCAUUGGUAGGCAGGUCCUGAGUGUUAUUAUACAUUUAUGUCGCUCCAGAGAUGAUGAUUGAUUUUCUUAUCAGGCUUUAAUCGUCUUCGCGUUACAGCACGAUGUAGGUGCCCGCCUUGGACACCAGAAUGGAAGACACCAUACUUUUAAUGUUUGCAUGUUUUAAUUUUGCUUUCGGAAUUUGGUCACCAAGUUUUUAUUUUCCAUGUUUCAUGUAUAGUAGAAUCUUUGCGUCAGUUGGUAGUAGACUUAGGAGUACUUAACAAGCAUAUACAACAUUGAACCCUCACCAACAGCCGUUUGGUAUAGAUGAGUUUGCAAUUUAUCUUCUCUUUUGUUCCUUCAACUACCUACUGAACAUGUAUAUACAACACUGAAAUCUCGGACAAUAUAUUGAUGCGCAGAGCCUUUGAUUCAUUGACUGCUAGACUUUGUUCUAGGUUCUGAUCUUUCAAAAAAAAAAAAUGUUCGCUGCGGUAGCAUGUUGCGGUGGCGGCAGCCAUGUCCCAAUCAUCGUUGGAGUGCCAAGGGCGUGUUCUCUUGUGAGGCAGCUUCGUCUGUGUCACCUCCACAUCUUCAGAUUCCUGAGAAUGUCAAGAGAGAAGGGAGUAUUCAAGAAGUCUCCGUCGAAUAACCAGAGCUCCAGAUCUUGAGCAUUCCAUUUAUUCACUGCAGCUCAUGCCAGUGGUAUUUGUAUCUAGGGAGUAGACUUUUUUUUCGAGUACUUGCAGGAGAUCUGCGAGUUUUGUAUUUAGAUAGAAGAAAGGAAAAAGCCAAACACAAAGGGGGGGAGCAGAUUAGAGUUUUCUCUAGGGCAUUAUAUACCAGAAAUUGUUUACAUUAUAUGUGUCCUGAAUAGUACUAUUAACCCGAGGCAGCUUCUCUUUGGCU